rnacentral:rRNA from 1 species
UACAGAGGGUGCAAGCGUUGUUCGGAAUUACUGGGCGUAAAGGGCGUGUAGGCGGCUUAGCAAGUCAGAUGUGAAAUCCCGGGGCUUAACUUCGGAAGUGCAUUUGAAACUGCUAGGCUAGAGUGAAGUAGAGGUUGGUGGAAUUCCCAGUGUAGAGGUGAAGUUCGUAGAUAUUGGGAGGAACACCGGUGGCGAAGGCGGCCAACUGGGCUUUAACUGACGCUGAGGCGCGAAAGCGUGGGGAGCAAACAGG